rnacentral:rRNA from 1 species
AUUGAACGCUGGCGGCAUGCUUUACACAUGCAAGUCGAACGGUAACAGGCCGCAAGGUGCUGACGAGUGGCGAACGGGUGAGUAAUGCAUCGGAACGUGCCCAGUCGUGGGGGAUAACGCAGCGAAAGCUGUGCUAAUACCGCAUACGAUCUAUGGAUGAAAGCGGGGGACCGUAAGGCCUCGCGCGAUUGGAGCGGCCGAUGUCAGUUUAGGUAGUUGGUGGGGUAAAGGCCCACCAAGCCAACGAUCUGUAGCUGGUCUGAGAGGACGACCAGCCACACUGGGACUGAGACACGGCCCAGACUCCUACGGGAGGCAGCAGUGGGGAAUUUUGGACAAUGGGCGCAAGCCUGAUCCAGCAAUGCCGCGUGCAGGAAGAAGGCCUUCGGGUUGUAAACUGCUUUUGUACGGAACGAAACGGUCUGGGUUAAUACCCUGGGCUAAUGACGGUACCGUAAGAAUAAGCACCGGCUAACUACGUGCCAGCAGCCGCCGUAACAC